CUCUCUCUCCCCCAUAGCCGCCCCCCCCCUCUCUCUCUCUCUCUCUUUCUCCCCCAUAACCGCCCAAACUUCUCUCUAUCCCUCUUUCUCUCUCUCUCACUCACCCGUUCGCACCACCGUCGUCGUCGUCGCCCCCCUCGCAUCGUCAUCGUCCCUCCCUCCACCGCUCGCACAGCUAUCACCUCCACCACCAGCCACAGACCACACGGUUGCCCCCCCCCACCCCCGUCAUCGCCCCGAUCCGCCAGCAUCCUCGACUCGCGAGGUUCAGCCAUGGCUGUCCUCUUCCUCUAUUUUUCUGCAUAAAAUAUAUAUGUGUUUGUGCAUAUAUAUAGAUAUAUAUCUGUGUUUGUGUGUAUAUAUGUAUGUGUUUUUAUUCACCCAUUUUCUCUCUCUCUCCCCCAUAGCCACCCAAACUUCACCCGUUCUCUCUCUCUCUCUCACCCUUCAUUUUCGAGCAGAGCUAGAUUCGGCUACCAGCAGCGGUAGCGGCAGCUCUAGUGAUGGCAACGACGGCUAUGGAUCCCUCCUCCAGCAUCCAGCGACCGGCCGCUGUCGAGAGCUCGCGCUUCAUCAUGCUUCCCUCUCCAGCAUUUCAAGUCAUCUAUUGGGGCAACUGGAAGCUUUUCAUGCCUUCUGGACCACCGGCACAACCACGACGAAGAAUGGCAUAACCCCGAACCUGGCAUUUAAACUAUUGCAAGAAAUAGACACUAUAACCUUGGUCCAUACUUCACAUAUAUUUGGUAUGAAAUAGUUACUGUUUCAAAUACUUGAGGAGCUUGAUAAGCAUGUAUUUGUCGCUAUCUUUUUUUCCCUCCCUACUCUGCUUUUCCCUUUUUAUUUUGCUUUUAUUCAAAGACAUUGAAAGUGAAUAUCAUGGAAUGUGGAUGAAUUUGGUGCC